rnacentral:rRNA from 1 species
UAGCGAAAUGCGAUACUUGGUGUGAAUUGCAGAAUCCCGUGAAUCAUCGAGUCUUUGAACGCAAGUUGCGCCCGAAGCCAUUAGGCCGAGGGCACGUCUGCCUGGGCGUCACGC